AACGAACGCUGGCGGCAGGCCUAACACAUGCAAGUCGAGCGGACAUCUUCGGAUGUUAGCGGCGGACGGGUGAGUAACGCGUGGGAACGUGCCCUUUGCUUCGGAAUAGCCUCGGGAAACUGGCAGUAAUACCGGAUGUACCCUUUGGGGGAAAGAUUUAUCGGCAAAGGAUCGGCCCGCGUUGGAUUAGGUAGUUGGUGGGGUAAUGGCCUACCAAGCCGACGAUCCAUAGCUGGUUUGAGAGGAUGAUCAGCCACACUGGGACUGAGACACGGCCCAGACUCCUACGGGAGGCAGCAGUGGGGAAUCUUAGACAAUGGGGGAAACCCUGAUCUAGCCAUGCCGCGUGAGCGAUGAAGGCCUUAGGGUUGUAAAGCUCUUUCACCGGGGAAGAUAAUGACGGUACCCGGAGAAGAAGCCCCGGCUAACUCCGUG
rnacentral:rRNA from 1 species